GAGAGGCAGAUGGAAUUGGUGGUGUAGGGGUAAAAUCCGUAGAGAUCACCAGGAAUACCCAUUGCGAAGGCGAUCUGCUGGAACUCAACUGACGCUAAUGCGUGAAAGCGUGGGGAGCAAACAGGAUUAGAUACCCUGGUAGUCCACGCCCUAAACGAUGUAUACUAGUUGUUGCUAAGCUAGUCUUGGCAGUAAUGCACCUAACGGAUUAAGUAUACCGCCUGGGGAGUACGGUCGCAAGAUUAAAACUCAAAGGAAUAGACGGGGACCCGCACAAGCGGUGGAGCAUGUGGUUUAAUUCGAAGAUACGCGAAGAACCUUACCCGGACUUGAUAUCUAACAAAUCAUCUAGAGAUAGAAGAGUGUCUGCUUGCAGAAAUGUUAAGACAGGUGCUGCACGGCUGUCGUCAGCUCGUGUCGUGAGAUGUUGGGUUAAGUCCCGCAACGAGCGCAACCCACGUCAUUAGUUGCUAACAGUUCGGCUGAGCACUCUAAUGAGACUGCCUUCGUAAGGAGGAGGAAGGUGUGGACGACGUCAAGUCAUCAUGGCCCUUAUGUCCGGGGCGACACACGUGCUACA
rnacentral:rRNA from 1 species